GAUGAACGCUGGCGGCGUGCUUAACACAUGCAAGUCGAACGAAGCACUCUAUUUGAUUUUCUUCGGAAAUGAAGAUUUUGUGACUGAGUGGCGGACGGGUGAGUAACGCGUGGGUAACCUGCCUCAUACAGGGGGAUAACAGUUGGAAACGACUGCUAAUACCGCAUAAGCGCACAGGAUUGCAUGAUCCGGUGUGAAAAACUCCGGUGGUAUGAGAUGGACCCGCGUCUGAUUAGCUAGUUGGCAGGGUAACGGCCUACCAAAGCGACGAUCAGUAGCCGACCUGAGAGGGUGACCGGCCACAUUGGGACUGAGACACGGCCCAAACUCCUACGGGAGGCAGCAGUGGGGAAUAUUGCACAAUGGGGGAAACCCUGAUGCAGCGACGCCGCGUGAGCGAAGAAGUAUUUCGGUAUGUAAAGCUCUAUCAGCAGGGAAGAAGAAUGACGGUACCUGACUAAGAAGCACCGGCUAAU
rnacentral:rRNA from 1 species